rnacentral:rRNA from 1 species
CUACGGGGUGCUGCAGUGGGGAAUAUUGCACAAUGGGCGCAAGCCUGAUGCAGCCAUGCCGCGUGUAUGAAGAAGGCCUUCGGGUUGUAAAGUACUUUCCGCGGGGAGGAAGGGAGUAAAGUUAAUACCUUUGCUCAUUGACGUUACCCGCAGAAGAAGCACCGGCUAACUCCGUGCCAGCAGCCGCGGUAAUACGGAGGGUGCAAGCGUUAAUCGGAAUUACUGGGCGUAAAGCGCACGCAGGCGGUUUGUUAAGUCAGAUGUGAAAUCCCCGGGCUCAACCUGGGAACUGCAUCUGAUACUGGCAAGCUAGAGUCUCGUAGAGGGGGGUAGAAUUCCAGGUGUAGCGGUGAAAUGCGUAGAGAUCUGGAGGAAUACCGGUGGCGAAGGCGGCCCCCUGGACGAAGACUGACGCUCAGGUGCGAAAGCGUGGGGAGCAAACAGGAUUAGAUACCCCGGUAGUC